rnacentral:rRNA from 1 species
GACGUAGGGCGCGAGCAUUGUCCGGAUUUAUUGGGCGUAAAGAGCUCGUAGGUGGUUUGUCGCGUUGUCCGUGAAAACUCACAACUCAAUUGUGGGCGUGCGGGCGAUACGGGCAGACUGGAGUACUGCAGGGGAGACUGGAAUUCCUGGUGUAGCGGUGGAAUGCGCAGAUAUCAGGAGGAACACCGAUGGCGAAGGCAGCUCACUGGGACGGUACUGACGCUGAGGCGCGAAAGCGUGGGGAGCAAACAGG